UCAACACUACUUUAUACAUGAAAGAUAAGAAAGAGAAAUUGAUUUUUCCUUUUAAAAAAAUAAACCUAUCUUUUCAUCUUAACCGUUCAAAUUCAUUUAUUUCUUCAAUCUUAGCCAUUCAAAUAAAAGUUGCUUAAUUUACACCAAAAGAUAUACCGUUCCAAACACACAGAGUAUCCCUCACACACAGCCACCCUUCUUUCACACAAUCGCUCCCAGCACAGCCGUCGCCGAUGUUUGUUGUUCUUUUUAAGGUGUUUACAACAGUGUUGUCACUUCACAUUAUAACGAUCUCUUAGGGGUUAGUUAGCAUUGAUGCUAGACCGCGUGAGAGAAUUGUAAUUAGUGACAAAGUUGUGCUGGAUAAUAAGGUACAUCUUUUGAAGAACCCUAUAUAAUGUUUGAUGAUGAUUUAUACUUAUGAUUUAUCUAUUGAUAAAGGCAUUUUUAUGUUGUUAAGUGUUAAUGAGUGAUGUACAUUUCAUCAUCAGGUAAUCAACGGCCAACAAUAUGUACCUUGGAGUAGACGAUGAUCCUCCCUCCCAUUUUAUUCAAUGGACAUCAACAGCAAGCUAACUAUUUUUUUUGAAAAGCAGUGGUGAUUGGACUCAGCGGCAUGUCUCUUCAUCGUCCGGUAGAGAUCGACCACGUUACCAGCACAGUCAAUCCGAGGGCAUGACAGGGCAAGCUAACUAUUCUAAAGAUUGGAAAAGAAAGUGCACUAUCGAGCUUUGAUGAAGAUUUACAACCCUACGAUAGCGGACCAUUACUUCUCAAGCUCAUUUGACCUGGUAGGAGUUUUACCCAUUAUCGGAUAUGCUAAAUCUUUGUGUUUUAUAAUUCCAUAGUGUAUAUUCAGAGACUGCGAGCCAGACCAUGGAGCUCAUAAAGGUGCUUUAAGUGGAUGCAACUGAUGACAAUGUAUUUUUCGUUGCUAUGUAUUAACACACCACUGCUGAUCUUAU